GGCUUAACCGUUACAAUUUAAUCCGUCGCAAUCCUUACAAUAAACCAUUAACACAGUUAUGUUUUAUCAUACAUAUUUGAUAUUAGUGACCUUGCAAUAGUAGUUAAGUUUUCAUAUAUAUUUUUUAUAUUUGCAUAAAUGUAAAUAUGCGAUAUUAAUGGUAGGAUACAUUCCCUCAGGAUUUUGAAGAACGGGAGGCCUGUAUCGGUUGGGGGGGGGCAUUCUUUUAGCCAUCCCGUCGAUAUUACAGGUCCGUUGGCGUAGCUGGGAGCCGGACGAAACGCGUUCCUUCGGAGUGGGCAGAGAGAGCAGGUUGACCCCGUCACGGCCCCCUGUAUCACCGUGGGGACUGCAGCCGCCUCAGCAAAAAACGACCGGGAGGUGGGAAGGGCACAGCACAUGGAGUGCCGUGGUCCUCAGAACAUGGGGUUACCAGGGUCAUCGGUGCUGAUCCUGGAUCGUGAGCUGAGCUGUUCCUGGGGCCGCUGCAAAGGGUAGUGGAUCGCACCCUGCGCUAUGGACCCAGUUACCAGAAUUUCAGUACCACUGACGGUCAACAGUCCUGGGUCUUCCGUGGGUCGACUCAAACUCAGAGGACCUCCAUAAACCACCCGCCUGGCGCCGCUUCUGCAUCGUCCACGGCCCUCGGCUGCAGCAUUACACAUGGGUAAAGUGCGGUGAGGCCUUCCAAGAUGUUUGUCCGGAGCCAUGGUGGCUUGUCUUCCCUGUUCAUGGGACUGGCUUCACUGGCAUCAUCUACAGUCUGUGCUGGAAAGCUGCCAUAGAGCACAAAAAGAGAAGCAGAAGAAGAUGGUUUAGACAUUGAAGGUUUCACCCACCAGAAUGCAGCGUACAGCGCUUGUGCACUCAAGGCUUUCUAGGUUCCUGCACAAUGUUCUUACCUUCCAAGCUACGAUUACGACACACAUACCUCGACAUUGUCUCAGAAAGAUGGAUAUGCAUUUGAAGAUUCUUUAGUUAUUUUUUUCAUCACUGCCUUGUGGUAGGUGUAGAGAUAUCAUAGUGUGAACUGAUACUGCUGAGAUCCUAAUUUAUACGCCAGGUAGCUGAUUCAUCUUCUUGGUUCUUUCGUGACUUUACCGACUUUACCGAAAGAACCAAGAAGAUGAAUCCCUGCAGUCACGAAAGCUUUAAAUCAAAGGUAGCUGAUUGAGAUAAAACUGGGCUUUAAAGUGAAGCGAGUUUGUUUUAAUUAAAUCCUAGUUCUGAGAGUUAUGUGAUGGAAGUCAUAUAUGUUUCCAUGGACCAUUGUCUAACAUGGGGUGAUGCUGCAAGAGAAUGGGCAUGGAUGAAUAAUUUUGGAGCAUGAUGCUUAAUGCACAUGAGUUAAUUGUAUCAUCGAUGAAGCUUGAAAAUGUGUGCCAGACUGCAAACGACACGUCAAUUAGUUGUGUGUAGCUACUAGAUAAGAGCUUUUUGUUUCAGUUUGUUUUUCUUCAAGUCGCUUUAACAUGAGGGACUGACUUUUCCAAAUUUUCCCCAAAAAGUUAUUUCUGCAAUGAUAUUUUUUUGUGACGAUAGGCCCACAGUGAUGACAUCACCUUUAUUGCGUUAUUGAAGAACAAAACACGAGGAUGUCUUCACAAUUCUGGCUAUUGACUGAUGAAGCUGGUUGUAAUCAGCGAAAUAUUGUUCUCCAAUGGUAAAUGUUGUGGGUUUACUCCAAAACACUGGUGUGCUGAAGUAGUCACGUACUGGAACAAACCUUGGCUGUGUGGGGUAGUGGUGGGUUUAACAACACAUUUAUAUUUAUUCAAUCUAUCCCAAAAAUACCUUUAUUAUGGACAUUGCUUUAUAUGCGGGGUAGAUAGGGAGGGGUGUGACAUGUGAACUCGCCUAACAAAGCGCCAUUAUAGAAGCCUUGCACCAAGACACAGCGAUCAGCCCCAUGGAACGCAGAACGGCCAUCAUAACGGUCUUGUAGACUGCGUCCACAGACAAGGAAGGAGCAAACCACAUUCAGCAAGUUAACCCCAGUAAAAUAUCAACAAAAUAUCAACUCUCAUUUCUAAUUAGUGAGGGUUAGGGACUUACAAAGUUAGGGUUUGGAGUUGGGGCUAUGUUAGGGUUUAGAGUUACAGAUAGGGUUUGGAGUUAAGGCUAGAGUAGGGUUUGGCAACUAAAAUAACAGCCAUUUUUGUCGAAUUCGUAAAAAUAUUUUUCAAUGCACAUGAAUACGAGAUGGUAUUUAAUAAAUAACUUUAUGACGCAAUUCUUUAAGGGCCACAUACCUUUCCUGAGCCACAGGUUUCCAACCCCUGUGGGACAGGGAUAAUGAUAUUUUUGGAUUGCACUCUCAUGUUCACGUCCUUUGGAUUGCACUCAUGUUCACGUCGUUUGGAUUGCUCUCUCAGGGUCCUAAUCUGUCAUUGACACUGCUGUUGUGCGCAUAUGCGGGCAUGAUACUCUUAUGCAGAGACGGAAGCUCAUGCUAAUCUCCCUCCCUAAUCCCUCUCUCCCUAAUAUCCCCCAUUAACAAAUCUGAAGUGCUUGCGUCCGUGGAUGGAAUUCCUUUCCAGCUCAGACCCCGCUUGCUUGCCAAUCGCCACAUAAAUUAACUGUGUUGUAACUGCUCUCUUGCUGGUUCAGCAGUUACACUGCUGGAUUAUAUUUUUUCCGCCUGAGGACGACCGCUUGUGUUGCGAUCGAAACGUUGUGAUUUAUUUUAUUUUAUACCUACGUGACUUUACCGAAAGAACCAAAAGAGUAUGGAUUCCUGCAGUCACGAAAGCUUCAAAUCAAGAUUGAUAAUGAUAUUCUUAUUACCUGGAGGUUUUUGGGCCACGUUAGGUGCCUGAAGGAUGGCCGUGGUGCUGGUUUGAGUGGAAGUCAUUGUGGUUGUCACGCUGCGCAUGCGCUUGAUCCAACCAAACAUUCCCAUCGCAGGCUCUGCUCCUGAAUGACCAACCGGCAGAACCAAUACGUCGUAGGGAUAGGUAUCUGUUGUGUCUUGACCCUCCAGAGCAACCCCGGACUCACUCCUUAAUCAGACCAGAGGCAGAGAAGCUUCAACAUGAACGAGUGCUUUACUGAACGACUCCGGGAAGUGGCCCCAAACCCCAGGGACAGCGGUCCUUUAUACAGUGAGGGAAAAAAGUAUUUGAUCCCCUGCUGAUUUUGUAUGUUUGCCCACUGACAAAGAAAUGAUCAGUCUAUA